GCCUAGGCUGGCUGCCUGAGAGUAGCGAGUGACAGGUAAGGGCUCUGAACCUUCCUGCGUGCUACCCAAGGAGUGCCUAGGGCUACCAGGAGGCCCAGGGAGGAACCUUGAGACCUGAGAAAGGCUUUUCUUCCCCGAGAGGACCACUGCUCAGGCUCAGAGGCCAUGGGGUGAAGUGCACAAAAAAGUGGGCGUCCAGCCAUGCUCUAAGUCCCCCGAAGAUGAAGACCAGGGAGCAGCUUCCUCCAAUGAAGCAGCAGCAAUCAGAGGACCAGGAGGCUGAAGCCCUGAGCCCAGCCAGAGGCAGGAUCAGCCAAGUCUGGGACAGGCUUCAAUUAUUUUAGGCAGAGCUUCUGGUUCCUGGGCCUUCAGACUUGGACUAGAACUUCACUACCAGCUUUCCUGGGUCUCCAGCUUGCAGAGAGCAGAUCGCAGAACUUCUUAGCCUCCAUAAUCACAAGAACGUGUUUGCUUCCCCUUCCACCAUGAUUGUAAGUUUCCUGAGGCCUCCCCAGUCCUGCAGAACUGCUUUGAAGAAGACCACUGCGUCGGUAUUUGUGAAAUGUUUUGAGCCUCUGGAUUUAAAUAAGGUUGGCACCGCUUCUGUUGCUUCCAGGAAGAUUGCAUACACAUGUAAAACCGGAAAAACGUUAAUGAAGAGAAAAACUAAAAGCUCCCGCCCCCACCCAGGCCUGCUCAGAAGAACCCAAGCCACUCAGAAGCAGGAGGCAGCCUUCACCCCAACCAGACCAAUAUCCGUUCCAGACUCAGGAUUACAACAAUCUGGGAGAGGGUCAACCAAGUCAGAGUCCCACAUGGCAGAAGAGCUGCUUUAGCUUAAGACUCUUAACUCUUUUUCUUCGGGGCAGGAAAGGUUUGAGCCAAUGAAGGAUGAGGCUUUCCAGGCCCAGGACACAACCUUGAUCCAAGGCCUAGUUGUGGCUUUAAUUUUUGUAAAUCAAGCCUCAAGUUUUUCUUCACUCUUUUAGCCAAAGAUAUGUUUCCCAGGAUGCAUGAAAUAAAUAAAUAAAAUGUACCAAAUUAGAGAUUGUGAGACAUGUAUGUCACUUAAAUCCUUUGUAGGCAA
rnacentral:lncRNA from 10 species